rnacentral:rRNA from 1 species
CGGUAUUUUAACCGUGCGAAGGUAGCAUAGUCACUAGUCUCUUAAUUGGAGGCUUGUAUGAAUGGUUGGACAAGAAGUAAGUUGUCUCAAGUACAAAAAUUGAAUUUGACUUUUAAGUGAAAAGGCUUAAAUAUUUUAAAGGGACGAUAAGACCCUAUAAAGCUUAAUAAUUUAAUAUAUAACCAGAUAAAUUAAAAGUUUAAUAUUCUUUAUAUAUUAAAUUAUUUCGUUGGGGCGACGAUGAUAUAAUUUGUAACUGUUUAAAUUUUAAAUACAGAGAUAUUUGUGUGUAAUGAUCCUUUUUAUUGAUUAAAAAUUUAAGUUACUUUAGGGAUAACAGCGUUAUUUAUUUUGAGAGUUCAUAUCGACAAAAAAGUUUGCGACCUCGAUGUUGAAUUAAAAAUUCGCCAUGGCGUAGGAG